rnacentral:tRNA from 1 species
GAGUUGUAGCUUAGUGAUAGAGUGCUUGCCUAGUAUGUACAAAGUUCUGGGUUCGAUCUCCAGAACCACACA